CUCUCUCUCUCUCUCUCUCUAUCUCUCGCGUCACAUAUUAUCUCAAAUCGGUCGCUUUCUGUCAACCGCGAAGCCGUCGCUCUCACUUCUGCCCGGAAAAAUAUCUUUUCGCUUUCCUCUAACUAUUCAGUUCUCGGAAGUAGUCUCCGCUUCCUCAGUUCCUCUCUCUCUCUCUAUCUGUCUAUCUAUCUAUCUGGAGAUUGAUUACUGGAAAUAGUUGCUUCCCUGUGGCAUUACGUUGGAGAGAAGAAAUCGUUUCGAAACGCUAGAGGUUUUUUUUUUUCUUAAUGUUCCUUUCUGGAGAGGAUUUUUUAUAGAGUAAAUGGAGGUGAUUGAGCUCUGGUUGUCGUUUCUUUAACAAUUAAGCAACUGG
rnacentral:misc_RNA from 1 species